rnacentral:rRNA from 1 species
CGGAAUCGCUAGUAAUCGCAGAUCAGAAUGCUGCGGUGAAUACGUUCCCGGGUCUUGUACACACCGCCCGUCACACCAUGGGAGCCAGGAAUGCCCGAAGCCAGUGGCCUAACCGCAAGGGAGGAGCUGUCGAAGGCAGGCCCGGUAACUGGGGUGAAGUCGUAACAAGGUACC